AGGGUAAAAGCUUUGGGUUGAAGCGUCACUUUGAAGUUGUGUAGAAGAAAUAUGUUCUUACCCUG
rnacentral:tRNA from 1 species